rnacentral:siRNA from 1 species
CCCAGCCAUUUGGGUUCUGCCUAU